AUUUCUCUGUUCAUACGCUUUAGCUUAUGUCGCCUUUUUAGCAUCUGUGUUACACAAUCGUGUCUUUAGGUCAAACCUGAAUCAGAUUAUCGAGAAGAAGGAACUAGCAAACUAGCUAGUUUCUUCAACAGCCAUGGGUGUGCAAGUCAAAGUCGAAUACUGCGGUGGAUGAGGGUACGGGCCCCGCUAUCAGGAGCUCGCGCGGGUUGUCACCGCGGAAUUCACUGAAGCGGAAGUGUCGGGCUUCGUAGGAAGGCAAGGCAGUUUUGAGAUUGAGAUCAACGGGCAAGUAGUUUUCUCCAAGCUCGAAACAAGCGGCUUCCCAUAUGAAGACGACAUCUUGGAUGCUAUACAGAAAGCCCAUGAUGGCAAGCCAGUGGAGAAGAUCACCAAGAGCCGCCCGCCUUGUGUCAUCCUGUAGAUCUCCUCUCCCUCUAUU